GCCUGGGUGGCUCAGUCGGUUAAGCGUCCGACUUCAGCUCAGGUCACGAUCUCGCGGUCCGUGGGUUCAAGCCCCGCGUCGGGCU
rfam:Felis catus isolate Cinnamon breed Abyssinian chromosome B4, whole genome shotgun sequence.